UGGGGAAUUUUGGACAAUGGGCGCAAGCCUGAUCCAGCCAUGCCGCGUGAGUGAAGAAGGCCUUCGGGUUGUAAAGCUCUUUCAGUAGGAACGAAACGAUAGGCUCUAACAUAGCCUGUUACUGACGGUACCUACAGAAGAAGCACCGGCUAACUACGUGCCAGCAGCCGCGGUAAUACGUAGGGUGCGAGCGUUAACCGGAAUUACUGGGCGUAAAGCGUGCGCAGGCGGUUUCUUAAGCCAGAUGUGAAAGCCCCGGGCUUAACCUGGGAAUUGCGUUUGGAACUGGGAGACUAGAGUGUGGCAGAGGGAGGUAGAAUUCCACGUGUAGCAGUGAAAUGCGUAGAGAUGUGGAGGAAUACCGAUGGCGAAGGCAGCCUCCUGGGCCAACACUGACGCUCAUGCACGAAAGCGUGGGGAGCAAACA
rnacentral:rRNA from 1 species